CCAGGAGGAUCCCAAACUCCCGCCCAUCCCAACAUUCCCGGAAUUCCGGCUCACCUCGGCCAGGAAGGCGGUGCCGGUCACCCUCUGGCACUCGAAGACGCUUCCCAGGAUCGGGAUGAGGCUCCGGACGAUCGGGGGGAGACGAGGCCCCAUGAGCCGAGCCAUGGCCCUGGGCGGGAACAGAGAUCGGAACGGCGGGAAUCGCAUCGGGAAUGGCGGGAAUCGCAUCGGGAAUGGCGGGAAUGGUGGAAAUCGGCCCAGGAUGGCGGGAAUCAGCUCGGGAAUGGCGGGAAUGGGCUCGGGAAUGGCAGGAAUUGGCUUGGGAAUGGAGGGAAUGGGCCCGGGAAUGUUGGGAAUCGGCUCAGGAAUGUCAGGAAUGUUGGGAAUUGGCCCAGGAAUGGCGGGAAUGGGCUCGGGAAUGGCGGGAAUGGGCUCGGGAAUGGCGGGAAUGACAGGAAUCGGCCUGGGAAUCAGCCCAGAAAUUAUCCCAGGAAUCAUCUUGGGAAUCCCAGAAAUCAUCCCGGAAAUCCUGGAAUUCUUUGGGAAUUCCCAAAUCCCACCCUCAAAAUCCCAGAUUUUCCUUGGGAAUCCCCCAAAUCCCAGAAUUCCUUCAAAAACUCCCAAAUCCCACCCACAAAAUCCCAGAAUUCCUUCAGGAAUCCCCCAAAAUCCCAGAAUUCUCCCCCAAAUCCCGGAAUUCCGUACCCUGCCAGGAGAGCGAUUCCCUCGUGGUGCCGCUCGGGAAUUCCCAUCAAUUCCCAACCUCCGGAAUUCCCAACGUCCCGCACGACCUCGGAGCCGCCGGCCCGGACCAGAGCGGCCUGAAGGGUGCUCACGGCGUAGCUGGAAAAUCCGGAAAUGGGAUCGGGAUCGGGAUUGGGAUUGGGAUCAAGAUUUGGGAUUGGAUUUGGGAUUUGGGAUCGGGAUCGGGAUUGGGAUUGGGAUCGAGAUUUGGGAUUGGAUUUGGGAUUUCCCGGCCUGAACCUGAGCGGCCUGAAGGGUGCUCACGGCGUAGCUGGAAAAUCCGGAAUGGGAUUGGGAUCAGGAUUGGGAUUGGGAUUGGAUUU
rnacentral:lncRNA from 1 species